rnacentral:rRNA from 1 species
AACGAACGCUGGCGGCUGGCUUAACACAUGCAAGUCGAACGCCCCGCAAGGGGAGUGGCAGACGGGUGAGUAACGCGUGGGAACAUACCCUUUUCUACGGAAUAGCUCUGGGAAACUGGAAUUAAUACCGUAUACGCCCUACGGGGGAAAGAUUUAUCGGGGAAGGAUUGGCCCGCGUUGGAUUAGCUAGUUGGUGGGGUAAAGGCCUACCAAGGCGACGAUCCAUAGCUGGUCUGAGAGGAUGAUCAGCCACAUUGGGACUGAGACACGGCCCAAACUCCUACGGGAGGCAGCAGUGGGGAAUAUUGGACAAUGGGCGCAAGCCUGAUCCAGCCAUGCCGCGUGAGUGAUGAAGGCCUUAGGGUUGUAAAGCUCUUUCACCGAUGAAGAUAAUGACGGUAGUCGGAGAAGAAGCCCCGGCUAACUUCGUG